UUCCAGCCAGAGCCCCCACGAGCUUCUGUCCACUCAAAAAUGAACCACAGCCACUUUUGAAAAAGUUUCCCUGCUUGAUGGAAAAGGAGGACCCAGUCACCUCUAAGGGCACCCUGUGAGGGGCAGUGAGCUGACCCCGGGCCCCAGGCCUCGGCUGGAGCUCUCCAGCUGUGAAUGCUCCCAGCUCUCAGCCCCCAGCCCAGCGGAGGUCGCGAUCUCUCGCCAAGACCACCUGGCUGCUUCCCCUCCAGCCCCCAGUCUCCGCCCACAUGUGCCCCCGCUGUGCACGCCCAGCACAGGGAAGCUCCCUACCCUGACCCUGGCUGUGAGAGCCGCAGAAGUCCAGAGUCCCCACCUGGGGGAGCCUCGCCAUGUCCUCUGCUCCAGGACCCUUGCCCCCAGCACCUCCACCAUUAUUGCUGCAAGUUCCAGGUGGCAGCGCGGCCCUCACAGACCCUGGUGGGGUGCAGGGCCCUCUUCCCAGGAGAAGGGCUGGUGUGAGUGGCUGGUCCCAGCGGUCCCCAAGAUCCCCAGGACAAAGCUAUAUGACAGGACGUGCAUUCAUUCACCCACGCCACCGGCAUCGAGGGAACUCCAGGAGCUUUUCUGUGGAUUAUCUCUUGAUCUUCAAAGCACCCCUGAGAGUUUCAGUCGCCACCUGUGAGCGAUGCCUACUGUGCUGGGCAGUGGGAGACAGAGGACGUUUCAGACAACAGGUGACACUCUCCCGGCAGCGGCCUCUCUGUUCCGAUGCGCCCAGGCUACCCCACGGAGCAGGUGCGGAGCACCUGGGGACGUCUCUCCGGGGGCCGCGGAAGACGCUCACCGCCACCCGUCACCAGGGAAACGGCCGCGGGGAACACCGCCCCAAUACCCCGGGAUGGCUAUAAAACACAAAAGCCCCAAACUGGAAAAUGACAAGUGUUGGCGAGGAUGUGGCGAAAUCUGAACCUCACAAGUUGCCGCUGAGAAUGGGAAAUGGUGCAGCCGCUGUGGAGAACGGCCGGCAGCUCCUCAGAAAGGGAAACAGCGCACGCAGCAAUCCCACCCCACGCUCCGUGCCCCGGAGUGAGACAAGGACCCAAACAGAGACCCCGUGUGCGCUCACAGCAGACCGCGCUGGGCCCGAGGCCGGCGCCUCGCCGGCUGUGGUGCGGGUGGACCUGGAAGGCCCAGUGCUGAGUGCGGGGUCAGACCUGGAGUCCACAGACACGGAGCAGACGGGGCUUGUUGGGGCCUGGGGGAGGGGGAGACAGGCCACUUGGUGGGAACCAGGCCGCCUCCGGGGGAGGAACGCUCUGGAACCAGAGGGAGGUGGUGCUUGGUCAACACUGUGACUGUGCCAAAUGCAGCUGAACUGUUCACUUUAAAACGAUGAAUUUUAUGUUACGAGAAUUUCACCUCAAUUAA